GACGAACGCUGGCGGCGUGCCUAACACAUGCAAGUCGAGCGGGGAUAUACGGAAGGUUUACCGGAAGUAUAUCCUAGCGGCGGACGGGUGAGUAACGCGUGGGCAACCUACCCUUAAGACCGGGAUAACACCUCGAAAGGGGUGCUAAUACUGGAUAAGCUCCUUGUAGGGCAUCCUAUGGGGAGGGAAGGUAGCGGAAGCUACCGCUUAAGGAUGGGCCCGCGUCCCAUCAGCUAGUUGGUAGGGUAACGGCCUACCAAGGCGACGACGGGUAGCCGGCCUGAGAGGGUGGUCGGCCACACUGGGACUGAGACACGGCCCAGACUCCUACGGGAGGCAGCAGUGGGGAAUCUUGCGCAAUGGGCGAAAGCCUGACGCAGCGACGCCGCGUGAGCGAAGAAGGUCUUCGGGUCGUAAAGCUCGAUAGUGUGGGAAGAAUAGAUGACGGUACCACACGAAAGCCCCGGCUAACUACGUGC
rnacentral:rRNA from 1 species